GACGAACGCUGGCGGCGUGCUUAACACAUGCAAGUCGAACGAAGUGGCGAACGGGUGAGUAAUACGUGGGUAACCUGCCCUGCACUUCGGGAUCAGCCUGGGAAACUGGGUCUAAUACCGGAUAGUGUGGGAUGGGCACGCGGCCUAUCAGCUUGUUGGGGGGGUAAUGGCCUACCAAGGCGGCGACGGGUAGCCGGCCUGAGAGGGGGGACGGCCACAUUGGGACUGAGACACGGCCCAGACUCCUACGGGAGGCAGCAGGUGGGAAUAUUGCACAAUGGGCGGACGCCUGAUGCAGCGACGCCGCGUGGGGGAUGACGGCCUUCGGGUUGUAAACUCCUUUCACCAUCGACGCGGUAGAUGGAGAAGAAGCACCGGCUAACUACGUGCCAGCAGCCGCGGUAAUUC
rnacentral:rRNA from 1 species